ACUGGGAUUUCCUGGUGAGGCCUACCCCAGUGUCCUUGCCUUGUCCAUGGACCUGACUUUCAGUUGUCCUGCGUUGAAGUCUUUUGGAUGCACUGGUGAGAAGUGUUGGUGCAGAACCAGCCAGCAUAUAGCACUCUGAGAUUCAGAAGCUCAGCCUCCCUGUGCCUGCCUUGGUUCCCAUUUGGAUUUCAGAGGCAUGCAGCACUGCAGCACUGCAGCACUGAUCUGCUGACUAACAGUUUUAUAAGAGCUACAUGAGUUCCUGUUGGUCUUGUCUUGCUUCACUUCAUUAGCAGAGGAGUAUACACUGAUGUCAUAAGUAUGUCUGAAGUUUGUGCCCUCUGCUAAGUGUCUGCAGAGAGCUGCACAUCCCAGCAGAUGGAGUAAGAUAAACAGCAAAUGCAAAACUAUUGACGCGAACUGGUUCCCAUUACAGUUUCAAUGUAAAUUAGGUGACAUAUUGCAAAGAGUAUAAAUGUAAGUUAUAGUCAGGUGACUGGAAGGGCCAGAUACUUAUGCCUGUUUUGUAGUUCUGUGAGUUAAUGUUAACUGGGACUGUAGACAUCACAGAAGUGCUACCAGUAAGUCAACUGAGAGCUGUAUAUUUCCCAAAGCACUGCAAGCACCGUAUCGUCCUUCUUCAAUGAGACAUAAAUCAAAAAAAAAAAUUGUUUAUGCAGUCUUUUAAUAAUGAAAACGCAUUUUGUUUUGUUUUCCCAUCAUUCAGCUUCUAUUUAUGCAAAACAUAAGCAAUGUUACAAGGAGGAUUCUUCCGUUAUUCAAAAGUGCAAAAUUCUAUAGACCAUUUUGCAAACAUAAACAAAAACCUUGAGCGGCAAUCAGGAAUACAUGUCUUUUCAGUUGUCAUCAGCAGGAGCAUGCCAAAAAGUGAGUUAGAAAUCACCCCCAA